CUGCAGUGCUCUUCUCUGUUACAAGACAUUGAGGCAAGAAGUGUGUUAACUACGUAGAAGUGCUGUCAGGGAGUUAUCCUGAGAGGAAGGGCAACACCUGGAAAUGGUGAACCCACAAGAACAGAGAGCGAGGUCUGGCUGUUCUCUGUCCUAGCAGUAAGAAGCUACUGCAGCAGACAGGCUACAUGUCGGAGUAUCGGCUUUACCACUCGGCUGGUGCAGAAGAAAUACUUCCUUAGUCGUAACUGGAACACCUUAUUCAGAGAAGACAAAGCCUACAAGUUCAGCAUCAAGUUCCACAUUGCAGUGCUGCCUUCACCUGAACAUAGAUAUACUCGUACAUCCUGUUACACUUAAAGCACAGUGUGUCACCACUGAGACUUCAGAGGGCUCCAAGUUCAUCUCCCAAGCUGUAUCUGUACAAGCUGUUCCAUUUUUUUUUUUUGCCAUCUAUGAUAACAGGUUUUGAAGGACAAUUUUCAGGAGUGCUUUUCCUCCCCUGGAUAGUGGCCUUUAUUUGUAAUGUAUUUCUUUCAUACUGUUGAUAUUUAAUUACAAAUCUGAAUCCCUUGUGGGUGUCAUACUAUAGAGCAAAAAUUUAGUUACUCAUGUUGACAGUAUUAAGAAAUAGCUAGAUUG
rnacentral:lncRNA from 1 species